UGGGGGAUUUUGCACAAUGGGCGCAAGCCUGAUGCAGCGACGCCGCGUGAGGGAUGAAGGCCUUCGGGUUGUAAACCUCUUUCGCUGGGUUGAAAGGCCAUGCUUUGGGUGUGGUUGAUUUGAACUGGUAAAGAAGUACCGGCUAACUACGUGCCAGCAGCCGCGGUAAUACGUAGGGUACUAGCGUUGUCCGGAUUUAUUGGGCGUAAAGGGCUUGUAGGUGGUUUGUCGCGUCUGUCGUGAAAUCCUGUGGCUUAACCAUGGGCUUGCGGUGGGUACGGGCAGGCUUGAGUGCGGUAGGGGAGACUGGAAUUCCUGGUGUAGCGGUUGAAUGCGCAGAUAUCAGGAGGAACACCGGUGGCGAAGGCGGGUCUCUGGGCCGUUACUGACACUGAGGAGCGAAAGCGUGGGGAGCGAACAUG
rnacentral:rRNA from 1 species